UACGUAGGUGACCAGCGUUGUCCGGAUUUACUGGGCGUAAAGAGCGCGCAGGCGGUCGUUCAAGUCGAGUGUGAAAGCCCCCGGCUCAACUGGGGAGGGUCAUUCGAUACUGAUCGACUGGAAGGCAGGAGAGGGAAGCGGAAUUCCCGGUGUAGCGGUGGAAUGCGCAGAUAUCAGGAGGAACACCAAUAGCGAAGGCAGCUCGCUGGGACGGUACGGACGCUAAGGCGCGAAAGCGUGGGGAGCGAACAGG
rnacentral:rRNA from 1 species